rnacentral:rRNA from 1 species
ACGGGUGAGGAACACGUAGGAACCUGCCCUUUAGCGGGGGACAACCAAGGGAAACUUUGGCUAAUACCGCGUAAUCUCGAGAGAGGAAAGCUGCCCGCAAGGGUGGCGCUAAAGGAGGGGCCUGCGUCCGAUUAGCUAGUUGGAGAGGUAAAAGCUCCCCAAGGCGAUGAUCGGUAACUGGUCUGAGAGGACGACCAGUCACACUGGGACUGAGACACGGCCCAGACUCCUACGGGAGGCAGCAGUGGGGAAUAUUGGACAAUGGGGGCAACCCUGAUCCAGCGAUGCCGCGUGGGUGAAGAAGGCCUUCGGGUUGUAAAGCCCUUUAGGUUGGGAAGAAGGGUGCUUGGUGAAUAGCCAAGUACUUUGACGGUACCGACAGAAUAAGCACCGGCAAACUCUGUGCCAGCAGCCGCGGUAAUACAGAGGGUGCGAGCGUUAAUCGGAGUUACUGGGCGUAAAGGGCGCGUAGGCGGUUAUGUGAGUGUGGUGUGAAAGCCCUGGGCUUAACCUAGGAAGUGCACCGCAAACGACAUAACUGGAGUAUAAGAGAGGGUGGCGGAAUUUCCGGU